UAUCGUUUUUGUCCUACUCUCCCCACUCUCUUUCUGCAUAUUUGAGGUCUCCGGCCUAGCAACUGAAGCAAAACGAUUGCAUCAUCGUCAUCGUCAUCGUCUGCAGCAACAACGAUGGCAACUAACGUCCUCCUGUUGGGAGCGUCCCCAUCUUCUCCCCUCUUUUCAUCUGUCUACUACCCAUCCCAAUCCUCGCCUUUCGUGGGACGAUUACCCAUCAGAUUCGGUCGUCAUCCCUCUUUGAAGGCGGCAGCUGCGAGGGGGCUGACGAUAGUUGCGGAGACGAAGAAGGCCGUCGCCGUUCUCAAGGGAAACGCUCAGGUCGAGGGCGUCGUCACUCUACUCCAGGAAGAUGACGGUCCUACAACGGUGAAAGUUCGUGUUGUUGGGCUUACUCCUGGCCUUCAUGGGUUCCAUCUCCAUGAGUACGGUGACACUACCAAUGGUUGCAUAUCAACAGGACCACACUUUAACCCUAAUAAAUUGACACAUGGUGCUCCUGAGGAUGAAAUUCGCCAUGCGGGUGACCUGGGAAACAUAGUUGCUAAUUCUGACGGAGUAGCUGAGGCAACGAUAGUGGAUAGCCAGAUACCACUGAGUGGACCCAAUGCAGUCGUUGGCAGAGCCUUAGUGGUUCAUGAGCUUGAAGAUGACCUGGGAAAGGGAGGGCAUGAACUUAGCCUUACUACUGGCAAUGCAGGCGGCAGAUUGGCAUGUGGUGUGGUGGGGUUAGCUCCAAUUGAAUGAUGGAAUCUGUUGUGACCACUUGCUGAUACUCGCUGCAAGAGCUCUUACUGAAGUGAGGCAGAUAGUGGUAGUUCAGGAAGUAAAAUGUCACAAUGUAGAAAUGAGAGGACAUUGAUCAUGGUUGUUGCGCCUCUUUGAUCAUUUCCAACGGCACCAUCUAAGUCCAUAGCUUUGGAAAAGGCUGCAUCUUCUCAGCAUACUCCAUAAGGCAGGAAACUGCUGAUGGAAAGUUCUUCGCUUUCCCUUCUGCUGUUUUUUUGAGAGGCGAGGAAGAGUUCUGUAACUGGUAAUAUUUCAAAAUAUGGGCUCAACAACAAAAUGGUGACCAAAGUAGAUAUCCGUGGAAUGAGAUCUCGAGAGCUGAUGUUGAGGUUUGGCAGGUUU